UGCGUAGGCGGACUAAUAAGUCAGUGGUGAAAUCUCUCGGCUCAACCGGGAAACUGCCAUUGAUACUGUUAGUCUUGAGUUCGGUUGUGGUAGGCGGAAUGUGUAAUGUAGCGGUGAAAUGCUUAGAUAUUACACAGAACACCAAUUGCGUAGGCAGCUUACUAGACCGACACUGACGCUGAGGCACGAAAGCGUGGGUAGCGAACAGGAUUAGAUACCCUGGUAGUCC
rnacentral:rRNA from 1 species